CUUUUAACGUCUUUUGGUAUGACGCGCCCGGAGAUCGAACCCCUUACCUUCCGCUCUCCGGGCGGACGCUCUACCACUAGACCACGGAGGCGGUCCUCCCCUCCCAGGUUAAAGGUGUAAUACCCAAAGCGCCACAAAAAAGCACACCAUAUUUUUGGAACCAAUCAGGCUUAUUGGUGGACACACGCCUUUCAACAAAAUAUCACCACAAUCUUAGUUUUUCGAAACAACAAUCGAGAGAAAAGAAAUCGAAUAAGAUUUUUCAGUAGUAGAUAGCAGCACAAUGUUAUUGUUAGGCUCAGACGGAUAAAGCAUACCUCUAGACUUGUGAAACGUGUAGUUAACACUACAGAUUGCGUACCAGUGACGGCCCGAGAAGAUCUGGGUUAGAAUAGGUCUUCAGCAACCCAUGCUUGCCGGAACAGGCAACUAUGCUUGUCAUAAGAGGCGACUAUUGGGAUCGGGUGGUCAGGCUCACUGACUUGGUUGAUGAAUGUUAUUGUAUCCCAAUUGCGUAGAUCGAAGCGCAUUAUGUCAAUCAUUGGAUUGUCUGGUUCAUAUUUGAUUAUUUACAGACUGCCGCCAAACAGCUGGAAUAGUAUUGAGCGCUGUGUUAAACAACAAGCAAACAAACGUACCAGGGACAUGCGCAAUGACCCUCAAAGCUUCCGGGAGUAUGAAGUCGCCGUUGCUAGAGCAGGAUCCGCUACAUAUCUGCGCUUCGGCUACAUCGGCUGAAGAAGACACAAAGAUAGCCGACGCCCAAGUGUGCAACGGCGAGUGUCACAGCAACAGCGACUGUAACCACUGUCACGGCUGCAGCUUCCAUUGUCACAGGGAUCACGACGCCGUCAUUGGACAUUGUAGAUGUCACUAGACCCCGUUCCGAAUCCUCCACAGUGUACAAAAUGUUCUUGAAUAAACUUGGAAAUGGUUACUGUA